rnacentral:rRNA from 1 species
CGGAUAUGAGCCGUCCUCGCAUGGGGGUGGUUGGAAAGUUUUUCGGUCAGGGAUGGGCUCGCGGCCUAUCAGCUUGUUGGUGGGGUGAUGGCCUACCAAGGCGACGACGGGUAGCCGGCCUGAGAGGGCGACCGGCCACACUGGGACUGAGACACGGCCCAGACUCCUACGGGAGGCAGCAGUGGGGAAUAUUGCACAAUGGGCGCAAGCCUGAUGCAGCGACGCCGCGUGAGGGAUGAAGGCCUUCGGGUUGUAAACCUCUUUCAGCAGGGAAGAAGCGCAAGUGACGGUACCUGCAGAAGAAGCGCCGGCUAACUACGUGCCAGCAGCCGCGGUAAUACGUAGGGCGCAAGCGUUGUCCGGAAUUAUUGGGCGUAAAGAGCUCGUAGGCGGUCUGUCGCGUCUGGUGUGAAAACCCAUGGCUCAACCAUGGGCUUGCAUCGGGUACGGGCAGACUAGAGUGCGGUAGGGGAGACUGGAAUUCCUGGUGUAGCGGUGGAAUGCGCAGAUAUCAGGAGGAACACCGAUGGCGAAGGCAGGUCUCUGGGCCGCAACUGACGCUGAGGAGCGAAAGCAUGGGGAGCGAACAGGAUUAGAUACCCUGGUAGUCCAUGCCGUAAACGUUGGGCA